rnacentral:rRNA from 1 species
GACGAACGCUGGCGGCGUGCUUAACACAUGCAAGUCGAACGGAAAGGCCCUGCUUUUGUGGGGUGCUCGAGUGGCGAACGGGUGAGUAACACGUGAGUAACCUGCCCUUUACUUUGGGAUAACUUCAGGAAACUGGGGCUAAUACCGGAUAGGAUCUCCUGCUGCAUGGUGUGGGUUGGAAAGUUUCGGCGGUUGGGGAUGGACUCGCGGCUUAUCCGCUUGUUGGUGGGGUAGUGGCUUACCAAGGCUUUGACGGGUAGCCGGCCUGAGAGGGUGACCGGCCACAUUGGGACUGAGAUACGGCCCAGACUGCUACGGGAGGCAGAAGUGGGGAAUAUUGCACAAUGGGCGGAAGCAUGAUGCAGCAACGCCGCGUGCGGGAUGACGGCCUUCGGGUUGUAAACCGCUUUCGCCUGUGACGAAGCGUGAGUGACGGUAAUGGGUAAAGAAGCACCGGCUAACUACGUG